AUGUAUUCGCUGAUAAGAUAAAAAUUAUCAAAAGAAGUGUUAAUAAGGUUCAAACUUUUUUUUGUUUUUUUUUUUUUUACUAUAGUAAAAUUGCAUUCAUUAAUUGGUCAUUCAGUAUAUAGUAUUAUUCUCUUCGUGCAAUUCUAUGCUUUUAUAUAAUGUUCGCUAUUUUAUAAUGUUUCAUUAGUUUGAAUUAUUAACGUAUUAUUUGAUUUUGUUGCGUGAUAAGUCUUUAUUAACAUCGUACUUGAUUUAAUUGAAUAAUUUUAUUAAUUUUAUGAUUGAAUAAUGAAUGAUCGUAGAAAAUAGAAGAUAAAACCAAUAUUUGCUCUUAUAGAACAUUAUCGUAUUUUAUAUUGUGUUUUUAUUCUGUUGCGUGUAGCUGCCCAUAGAGUGCAGUGCACACUAUUCGUGGCAACGUUUCGAGCAAUGCUAUUGGUCCGCUGGUAGAGACGAGUAUAGGUAUAAAUACCAACCGAGGCAACCUUCUGAUCAGAACGGUCUAGGCUCUCGUACCGGCAGGACUGCUGUCAUGGCGUCCAAUAUAUAUAUAUAUAUAUAUAUAUAUAAUACAAAUUCGCUCGAAAUGGAUCCAAACGCAAUAAUUGAUAACGAUCAAGAUUGAAUGAUCUAUUUUAGAUCUGAGAUUGACGGUCUUAUACGGAUUAAAGAAUUAAAAUCUAAUCCUCUUUUGCAAUCAUGAUUAUUCGUAGAAAGGAAAAGAUACCAAAGCAACAUAGAUGGAUGUUUUACGUGAUAUUAUAUCAUUAUAUUAUUAUAUCAUAUCGUUAAGGAUAUCAUUAUUAUAUCAUUAAGGAUACAUCACGAUUUGUUCGAUGUGCGUUAAGGAAUUGAAUGAAUUGUUUUAAUGAUCUUUCGUCAAAAUUUUUAUACGAUAAUAUAAUUAAUUACAUCGAAUAUAAAAAAAAAAAUUAGACUAAUAUUCACCCUUAACAAUGCAUGGUAGAACAUUUGUUUAUGGAAUUUCAUUGUAAAGAAAUAGUCAUUCAUAUGUGUGUAUCACGUGGUAUGUGUAAAUGGUCUUUUUCAAAGCUAUCAAAUCUAAAAUUCUACGAUUUAAAUUCCAAACUUUUGAAUAUUUUAUAUAUAACUUUAUUAACAUUUCGAUGUAAUAUACGAUUAAAAUUUU